UACGGAAGGCAGCAGUGGGGAAUAUUGCACAAUGGGCGCAAGCCUGAUGCAGCCAUGCCGCGUGUAUGAAGAAGGCCUUCGGGUUGUAAAGUACUUUCAGUCGUGAGGAAGGUGUUAAGGUUAAUAACCUUAGCAAUUGACGUUAGCGACAGAAGAAGCAUCGGCUAACUCCGUGCCAGCAGCCGCGGUAAUACGGAGGGUGCGAGCGUUAAUCGGAAUUACUGGGCGUAAAGGGCACGCAGGCGGUUAAUUAAGUUGGAUGUGAAAUCCCCGGGCUUAACCUGGGAAUGGCAUUCAAGACUGGUUAGCUAGAGUCUUGUAGAGGGGGUAGAAUUCCAUGUGUAGCGGUGAAAUGCGUAGAGAUGUGGAGGAAUACCGGUGGCGAAGGCGGCCCCUGGACAAAGACUGACGCUCAUGUGCGAAAGCGUGGGGAGCAAACAGGAUUAGAUACC
rnacentral:rRNA from 1 species